rnacentral:tRNA from 1 species
GCCGGGGUGGCGGAACUGGCAGACGCACGGGACUUAAAAUCCCGGGGACACGCGCUGUCCGUGCGGGUUCAAGUCCCGCCCCCGGCA